UCCUACCAGAUUGGUGAGAAGGGAGC
rnacentral:piRNA from 1 species